UUUAAACAUUCAAUAUGGACAUUCAAUUUAUAUUAUAAAAGUUAUUCCUUUUACAGAACCUAUUCCUUUUACAGUACCUGUUCAUUUUACAGUACCUUGAUAGCCAAAUUCUUAUGGAUGAAUAUCAAAGCAAUUUUGAUUUAGAUGAAGAAAUAACUUCUACAAGUCAAAAAAAAUAGAAGUUGGGGCACAAUUUGAAUCAUUUAAUGAUUUGCAAGAAGCUAUAGAUAAAUAUGAAAAUCUAGUGUUUACAAAUUACCAUAUAGCAACAUGUACCAAGCUUGGUAAUUUUGAUGAAAACAUUCAAACAAUACAAUACAAAUAUAUACGUUAUGUUUGUAUACAUGGAGGAAGACACUUUAAAAGUCUUGGGAAAGGAAAACGACUUACCCAAACUUUACAACUAAAUUGCCCAAACAGCUUUUCAGUAAAGCACAUAAUAAUAGGGGAUCUACAUAGGCUAGAGGUUUCCAAAAUGAAUAGUGGGCAUAAUCAUGAUUUGGAUUAUAAUUUAUUCAUGCGUUUACCUAAGCAACGUAAAAUAAAUGAUGAAUCAAGAUCAUUAAUUGUUAAGUGUUUAGAAUAUGAUGCCUCAAUUCCUAAAAUUAAAUAUGACCUCCAACAAAAAGGAGUUUACACAACAAAUCGAGAUUUAUAUAAUAUAAAAAAGAAAAUAUUAUAUCAACCAGGGGACUCUGAGCUCCUGGAUGUUUUUAAUUUAUUAAAAAAUUUAAACCCUAAUAAUAUUAUAAAAAUAGUUUCUGAAAACAAUGCCCUUCAUGGGAUAUAUUACCAAACCCCAAAUAUGAAGGAUUACUUUAGAGCAUUUCCAGAGAUUCUCCUGGUUGAUGCAACUUAUAAAUUAAAUUAUUAUCAAAUGCCAGUAUUUACUCUCUUUGUUAUUGAUGGCGAAGAACAAACGAGAUUUGCUGCUAUCUGGAUAGUCAAAUCUGAGAAUUAUUUAAUUGUUAAAAAUAUGUGUGAUUUAUUUAAAUCGUACAAUGAUAAUAAUAAUAAAAUUAAAGUAAUAAUUGCAGAUAAGGACUUUGCUGAUAGACAUGCUUAUAGAGAAGCCUUUCCUAUGGCUUCACUUGAAAUAUGUACGUUCCAUGUACAACAAACAUUUAUUAGAGAAAUAACCGUUAAAAAGAGAAAUAUAAAUUCUACCCAGGUAAAGGUUGUGUUAAAUCUUUUGAAAAAAAUGAUCUACACCAAAACAGAGGCACAUUAUUGGGAAAUAUAUAAUUCAUUGAUGGCAUUAAAUUUUCCAAAUGUGGAAGAAUAUUUUAAUAAUAAUUGGCAUAACAUU